CAGAGCGCCCUGAUGAUCCAGAUGUGCAGCUGCGGAGACGACUGGUCUGGGAACUGCAAAUCACCGGCCCCUGGCGCCCCUCCCUUGGACAGGGAGUUACAGUUUGUAGUGUCAGCCUCCGUUCAAACCCAGCCUCCACUGCCAGUCACUUGGGCCUCUGAGCCUCUAGCCUCAGCCUCCAUACCCACGAACAGUGCUGCCUCGAGGGGCAGUUCUGAGAGCCUCAGGAAGAAGACUCAUCUGUUCCCUGAACCUCCCUGGGAAAGCCCUGUGGGCGCUGAGCCUGCACACACGACCCACGGUCCACACCAGAGGCCACAUCUGCCUGCUGCUGGAGGGGACAGUGGGGACAGUUUGCAGGGACGGAGCUACUUACAGAGCCGUCUUCCUGGGAGAAGUCCAUCCUGGGACCUAAGGAUCCUGAGCUGGAGGAGGCACUAGCCCAGACUCCCAGAGCGCCCCAGGCAGCCACAAAGGCACUGGGGUAGCUGAGCAGCAGCCGCGCCAUGGGCUGAGCAGGGCCUCUGGUGUGCGUGUGCUCACGUCAACCUCGAAGCCAUGCAUAGGGUAAUAUUGUUUUGUUUCGCUUUGUUUGCAGUUUGGGGGAUUGAACCCAGGGCCUCAGGAAGGCUAGGCAAGCACUUACUGUUGACCGUACCCAGCUCUUUUAUUUAAAAAAUUAUUUAUAUUUCGGUACCAAGGAUUGAACCCAGGGGCGCUCAACCACAGAGCCACAUCCCCUGCCCUUUCUUUCUUUUUAUUUAGAGAUAGGAUCUCACUAAAUUACUAAGGCUGGCCUUGAACUUGUGAUCCUCUUGCCUCAGCCUCCUGAGCUGCUGGGAUUACAGGUGUGUGCCACCAGGUUUGACUUAAAGGGUAAUAGUU
rnacentral:lncRNA from 1 species